rnacentral:rRNA from 1 species
AGUGAACGCUGGCGGCGUGCUUAACACAUGCAAGUCGAACGGAUCAAAGUAGCUUGCUAUUUUGGUUAGUGGCGCACGGGUGAGUAAUGUAUAGCUAACCUGCCCUUUAGUGGGGGACAACAGUUGGAAACGACUGCUAAUACCCCAUACUCCUUCUUGCCAACAGGUGAGUCGGGAAAGAUUUAUUGCUAAAGGAUGGGGCUUUAUGGUAUCAGCUAGUUGGUGAGGUAAUGGCUCACCAAGGCUAUGACGCCUACCUGGUCUGAGAGGAUGAUCAGGCACGCUGGAACUGAGACACGGUCCAGACUCCUACGGGAGGCAGCAGUGGGGAAUAUUGCACAAUGGAGGAAACUCUGAUGCAGCAACGCCGCGUGGAGGAUGACGCAUUUCGGUGUGUAAACUCCUUUUAUAAGGGAAGGUAGUGACGGUACCUUAUGAAUAAGCACCGGCUAACUCCGUGCCAGCAGCCGCCGUAA